AACUCGUGAUGUGGACAAGUUCUUAGCAAUCCUUGAACCUCUCCCAGCAAGCCCGAAAGGUUUCAUCCCCCUUCUGCAUAAACUAAAUGAUCUGUUCCUACAAAAAU